GCCUGGGUAGCUCAGUUGGUUAAGCAUCUGACUUUGGCUCAGGUCAUGUUCUCAUGGUUUGUGGGUUUGAGCCCCACAUCAGGGU
rfam:Felis catus isolate Cinnamon breed Abyssinian chromosome B1, whole genome shotgun sequence.